rnacentral:rRNA from 1 species
CAAUAGCAUAUAUUAACGUUGUUGCAGUUGAAAAGCUCGUAGUUGAACUUUUGGUAGGAGCGACCUGGCCUUGGGCGCAUGCCCUUGUUUGCCGUGUGUCGUAUCUGGCCAUCCUUUUCCGCUUCGGCGGGAAUCUUUUACUGUGAGUAAACUGGAGUGCUCAAAACAAGACGUUUGUUUGGUACAUUAAAGCAUGGAAUAAUAAGAUAGGACCUGGUUACUAUUUUGUUGGUUUGCAUAGCUAGGUAAUGAUUAACAGGGACAGUUGGGGGUAUUCGUAUUUAAUUGUCAGAGGUGAAAUUCUUGGAUUUAUGAAAGACGAACGACUGCGAAAGCAUUUACCAAGGAUGUUUUCAUUA